rnacentral:rRNA from 1 species
UACGUAGGGGGCAAGCGUUGUCCGGAAUUAUUGGGCGUAAAGAGCUCGUAGGUGGUCUGUCGCGUCGGCUGUGAAAACUCGGGGCUCAACCCCGAGCCUGCAGUCGAUACGGGCAGACUUGAGUGCGGUAGGGGAGACUGGAAUUCCUGGUGUAGCGGUGAAAUGCGCAGAUAUCAGGAGGAACACCGGCGGCGAAGGCGGCUUCCUGGUCCAGCACCGACGUUCAGGCACGAAAGCGUGGGGAGCAAACAGG